CAAAAAAUAUCUCUCCUCCCCUCUUCCUCCUCUCUCUCUCUCUCUCUCUCUCUCUCUCUCUCAAAUGAGCACUGGGCUUAGCUCGCCUUACUUUUCUCAAUGUCAAGGAAUGAAAUUAUUCAUUCAAAAGGACAAUAAUGAAAGAAGCUGAUAUGGAAUUCUCCAAUCUCAUUAGCAAAUAUUUUCGGAUGACGAGCGUGGCGUAUGUAAGCAUGGGUACCUGGAAGAAUGGCCUCAUCGAAAAAUUUCAGAAUAACAAGGUCCUUGGAUUCUCUACGUAUAUACUUUGUACACCAAUUCUCCCGUCUGUAACCCUAACCUCAAAAUGGUAGCAUGUUGUUCUGGUUCAUCUUCAUCAUUGGCGAACCGAGAGCCUCUAACAAGUAAUUUUGGUUCGACGUGC